rnacentral:sRNA from 1 species
AGAAAAGAAAGUGAGAAGAACGAGAAGGAACUUAAUCGGAUUACGGUGUG